AGUAGCAAGUGUUUUGUAACUUUUGUAUAUGUGUAAUAAGCUCAUAUUCUGGGUGUAUCAUAUGUUACAUCUAUAUACACAUAAAGUCGAAGUAAAAAGGGGAAACAAAAACAAAAAAAAAAAAGGAUAAGAAAUCACAGAAUGCUAGAAAGUUGAAUAUAUAUACUUGUAAAAAUCGUUCCCCGCUUUGCUUGCCGCGCAUUCCAGAAACCAAAAUAAGGGAGAGCAAAAAGACAAGAAAGAUUGUGAAAUAAACGCCCUACCAUCCAGCAAAAAAAAAAAAAAAGUGGAGAAACACCAAACCCAGAUAAAGGAGGAAAACGCGAACUAACUAGCAUAUCCAAUAAUUGAGGGAUAUCACCAAAGAGAAUACUCCACUCGACUAAUAACGCUGUAUUAGAAGACAUAAGAACCAAUAGAAGACCAGAAAAAAAAUAAACUUAACACAUAACCCAACCCCUUUAGGCUUGGAAAGGGGGGAGCCAAGAGCAAAAUACACACAAAGGGCAACGACGAAACAACAAACGGCACAUCCAAUUCCAAAUCCAAAAAAAAAAAAGAGGAGGACAUCGUAACUUGGGUAGAUAGAUAGACUGCAUUGGAUAUUGUUAUGCGUCACGUUCAAAUCGUUCUCACGCAGGUUGUCGUAAAUCCCAGGCGUCAAUGAUACCUCCAAAGUCAGACGUGUUGUCCAGCGCCCCGAGAUUAUGUGACAUAAUAAUAUUAUCGAGUCCGUCGGUGGGUGCUGGGUGUGGCGGCAGCGGAGAUUGCUGUACUUGCGUCGUCUGUGGCAGCGAGUCGCAUUGUUUCGUCCUUAGUGCAGGCGGUGGAAGUUCAUCGAGAGGACCGAUGUUAUCCUCCGAAUAACUUAUGACGCUUUGUCCAGAUCUGGCAUUGAAGUCACUGCUUGCAGAGGACGGCCAUUCUUCCGGAGACCAUCCCUGCAGACUCUGCUGCGGGGGCGGGGGUUGAUUUGAUGGGAACUGGAAUGUAGGCGUGAGCUGGGCGAAGACGGCAGCAUUGACAUCACCACACUCUCCACCACCGUAGAUUCCAUUGAAUAUGUUGGAAUGUCCGUUAUCGAUGCCUCCAAGGACUUGCUCCCAAUCAGAGAUACUAAAGCCGCCUCCGGGUGCGUUACCUGGAGUUGCUUUUAGUUCGACCUUCUGGUUACCCAACGGGAGGUAGUCCAAGUUCAGGUAGUCCGAAGAAAUCUCACCUGUGGAACGGGGAGUUAUCGCCGUCAACUCUGCGUUCGCUGAUGAUGACAUGCUGAGGGAGCUGGAGGACCUGAUGCUGCGUUCGCAUAGGUCUGGACUCGAAGAGGGUGCCGAGGUGUCGCUGGACUGAGGCGUGUUCAUGUUAAACGAGUGGCGAGAUUCUAGUGAUAGCGUUUUCCUGGGCGAUUUGACUUUCGGCGAAGGCGCAGACAUGUCUGAGUUGGAAUGUGGUUGGUGCUCUGGCUUGACACGAUUGGCGUCAUCAACUGGAGAGACAAUAUUCAAGAUGUUAUGGAAUUCAGAAGCAGCUUCAGGAGAUUCGCAUUCGAGGAGAGAUAGGGCCGAGGAGAGAAGUUUUUGACCUUCCUUAACGAGCUUGCAGUCACGGCCCAGGUCCACGUUCUGCCACAGCACACCCAGGCUCGAGGCAAAUAACAGCUCCCUUUUGUUAAUACUAAGCGCAAGGCUCAUUCUUCUUUCUUCUAACAGUUGAAGGAUUUGAAUGAUAUGUUUCCCAGAGUCUACUAGGGCCAGUAUGGAAG
rnacentral:sRNA from 2 species